GGCCAGUUCACCAGCCAUCUCAGAACAACAGCUUACUUAAAGCUCCACCUUCAGCAUAUGGUUCAUUCUUUUUCAAUAAUAUUUAUGAUUAUUGGUAUUUGUUUCUGAGUUUCGGCUGUAAAACACUUCACCUUUGUUAAUGGCUUAAUAUAAAGCCUCCUCCAGCUGGUCCAAGCUAAAACUUAAACCCUUUUCAUCAUCAUUCCUUGCCCCUAGUGCGACCGACCCUUCUCUCUCUCUCUCUCAAGAAAAAAGAUUUGAAAUUGUAACAAUACUGAUCCUGAAGAGGUAGAAAAAAAGGGUAAGUGUUAGAUGUCCGCCAGUCACCGCUAAGUCCCUUUAGCUCUCUCUCUUUCUAGAAGCCUUGUAGCGCAUUCUUCCUUACUCCAAGCUUGGAUGCAACCAUCUCAUUCUUUUUUCUCUCUUUCUCUCAACUCAAGUUCUGUUUCCCGGUUCAUUUUGGCUUUGAGAAUUUGUUGGGUUUUAGUUCGCUGUUGUGAAACAUGAGCAAACAAGAGUUAAUGAAGAUGCAGCAGACUUGUGUUCUGAAAGUGAAUAUACAGUGUCACUGUGAUGGGUGUAAGAAGAAAAUAAGGAAACUUCUGCAAAAAGUUGAUGGUAUGCUCCUUAUCUUUUGAUAAUUCCUUCUGCAAGAUUCUUUACUGUUGUGUAAAUUUGUUAAUUAUUUUGUGAGGAUUAAUUAAAUUUAAACUAGUAUCUGGUAAAUCUCUGGAGAACAUCUCUGAAAAAACAAAAUGAUUUGGGUUGUAGCCUCCCAAUUGGGUAGGAAUAACAUUAUUUCGAAUUUCUUUGGUUGUCUAUUAAAAAUUUUAUGGCUAACCAUACUUUUUCAAAAGAACAAUUGAUGAGCUCAGAAUGCUAGAUUCAACAGUCGCAGAUAUGAUACCGUGCUUCAUAAAUAUCUUUUUUUUUUUCUUUAAUUUCAAAUUUAAGUGAGAUUUUGAAUUUUUCCUCAUGGGUAGUAUUUGUUUUGGCCAGGGGUGUAUAAUACAACAAUAAAUGCAGAGCAAGGGAAGGUAACUGUGACAGGAAAUGUUGACGCAGCAAAACUCAUAAGGAAGCUUGAGAAGUCAGGGAAGCAUGCAGAGCUAUGGGGAGCUCCAAAGGGCUUCAACAACUACCAAAAUCUUGUCAACAAUCAAUUCAAGAACAUGCAAAUUGGGAAUGGCAAAGAUAACAAAUCUCAAAAGGGUGGAAAAGGAGGCCAACAAGGGCAACACCAAAUGCAACAAUUCAAAGGAUCUAAGGAUCUAAAGAUGCAACCUCAUAAAGACCAGAAAUCUGUCAAGUUCAACUUGCAGGAUGAUUAUAUUGAUGCAAGUGAUGAUGAUGAUUUUGAUGAUGAAUUUGAUGACGAAUUUGACGAGUUUGAUGAUGAUUUU
rnacentral:misc_RNA from 1 species